rnacentral:misc_RNA from 1 species
GAUGAAGAACGUAGCGAAAUGCGAUAAGUAAUGUGAAUUGCAGAAUUCAGUGAAUCAUCGAAUCUUUGAACGCACAUUGCGCCCGCCAGUAUUCUGGCGGGCAUGCCUGUUCGAGCGUCAUUUCAACCAUCAAGCCCCCGGCUUGUGUUGGGGACCUGCGGCUGCCGCAGGCCCUGAAAACCAGUGGCGGGCUCGCUAGUCACUCCGAGCGUAGUAAUACAUCUCGCUCAGGGCGUGCUGCGGGUUCCGGCCGUUAAAAGGCCUUAUUUACCCAAGGUUGACCUCGGAUCAGGUAGGAAGACCCGCUGAACUUAAGCAUAUCAAUAAGCGGAGGA